rnacentral:rRNA from 1 species
CGUGGGAAUCUACCUAGUAGUGGGGGACAACAGUUGGAAACGACUGCUAAUACCGCAUACGCCCUACGGGGGAAAGCGGAGGAUCUUCGGACUUCGUGCUAUUAGAUGAGCCCGCGUGAGAUUAGUUUGUUGGUGGGGUAAUGGCCUACCAAGACUACGAUCUCUAGCUGGUCUGAGAGGAUGAUCAGCCACACUGGAACUGAGACACGGUCCAGACUCCUACGGGAGGCAGCAGUGGGGAAUAUUGCACAAUGGGGGAAACCCUGAUGCAGCCAUGCCGCGUGUGUGAAGAAGGCUCUA